GUGAAAAGUUAUUAAUAAUUAAUCUUUUCUCUUCACGUGUGCUAAACUCUCCCUAUCCUUUUUCUCCUUCCCUGUUCUAAAAACCCACUUCAACAUUGAAGCAAACCGUGCAACCAUGGCGGUACCGUCACGAGACUCGGAAACCACCAUCAAAUUCCUAAUCGAACAAACACUCUUAAACCCAGAUUUAAACCAGUAACUUUUUGCAAAACAGUGAUAUCCAAAGAGCCAAAUUUCGGAAAAACAAACAUGGCAACAACAGUCUUAUGCAAUAAUCAUGGGGUUUGCAAUUUAUGAGGCAAUGUGAACAAGAUGGUAAUAUCGAAUCAUGCAAAGGGGAAAUGUUAAAUACCAAAUCGGAGCUAGUCCGACGUUUCAACUCCGUCAAGGUGAGGGGCUUAGCUCGAGCUUGUUGAGCUUCGGUGUGAAAGUCUCAACAAGUUAAAAACGGAGCUUUUUAAUGAGGGUUUUAGAAUGAUUUCUCCAGCGUAACGGCGCAGAAAUUCGGAUCCUUUUUCCAUCAUUCGAGGUCCUUAUUUAUAGCGUUUUUGUACGAGGUUCAAUCUUUCUCCUCUUUCAUGAGCUGGCGAAUUUUGGAAGAAUCAUUCCGUUAGGUAGCAGGAUUUUUCUCAGAUUUGGUGGUCCUCCAAUUUGAUGUGGUCCCUCAAAUGACAGGAUAAGGUUUUAUCUGUAGUGAAUCCACGUUUUGCUCCUUUUGGUACAGGGUGGUUGAUAGAAUUUAUGGACAACUCUGUCAUGAUUUUAAAUGGAGGUGAGAAGUAGGCUGAGCCAAUAUUGGAGCGGAGUAUAUCUGCAAAUUCUGAAUUGCACUUGUAACGUGAUGCUAUGCUUGGUCUUGCGAGGUAUUUCUUUUGGUCAUGUUUGUGACAGGAUGCUAUUGCACUGCAGAACAUGGAUGAUGAUUGCGAGGUUAUGUACUCCACAGAACUAAAGGUCUCACGGCAUGGUAAAGGUGGCUUGUAGACUGACAACAUUAUGUGACAUGGUUUGUUAUCUCUGUGCACGACUCCCAUAUCAUGACAAUACUUGAUGACUAACAUCACUUCCCUGAGUAUGUUAACAUCCUGCUGUUUCUGAAUAAGACUGGUUUUUUAUACUGAUAUGACAAAGAUGCUUUCAGUAUGCAACUCACGGUUUUAUUGGAGGAAGAUUCUCCAACAGGUCUAACAGGUUUUGCCGUCAUUCCAAAUUUGGUUCAGCGGCGUUGAUGCUUGGAGAACCGUGUGAAAAUUUGGUUGAGACUUUGGCUUGAUUAGUAUUUGGUCAAACAUCCCUGUUUUCUCGAAUUGCAUUGUCUUAUGUAGCUUGAUCUAGUUGGUGUUUUGCUGAUACCCCAACACGGCUUGUGCCUUGCGCUGUUAAAAAUGAUUGGCAGCAGUUGUACAUGCCCUGUAUGUUUCAGACUUUUGGAUUUGGUCUGCAGCAAAUUAAAGUUUGAUGAAUGUUGCCUUUGUUGCCGGUUUUAUAUUCAUAGCUGAUAGUGCCAAUUUUUAGAGUGGUAAAAAACAUAUAUGUGUUUGUAUUACCCUGUGCACAUGUCUUACAUUUGUACUGGCAGCUUGUAACAGGUCUUGUGGCGUCCAUUUGGCCUUUGGUUAACAUGAAUUGAUUCCUUUGCGUUUGCAUUUAUGUGUUGUGAUCCUCAUGACUUCGUGGCUAUAUCGCAGGUAUCGCUCAUUAGACAUUUCAUGUUGGUGGUGCAUUCAAUGGCACGGUCCUUAAUAUUCAUGAUAAGUUCAUCUGCACGACGAUCGGUUGUUAACUGGAGGGCCAUUAUCCCAACAACAUAUGCAGCUAGCUCAGUCGAGCAAAGGUGGUUCCUUCUUGAUACUCUAGGUCAAGGUAAUACAGAUUAUCGCCACACGCAAACCCUCUGUACUCAGCGAUGCUGUCAGGUACAACGCCUGAAAUGACUUGUUCUGGCUUUGGAUUACACAGGAAUGAUACACCGCACGCUGCUUCAACCCAAACGAAGUCGAAAGUAAUUAGAAAGAUGGAAGUUGGAGAGGUCGAAGUCAUGCCUACGUACAGUUGCAUUUUCGCCCUUGCUGUAGACAGAACACUUGGGUCGAUGACAGACAUCCUUUCCAUGGAUUCAAACAACAAGGGUUGUCUUGGUUUUUAACACUUAAUCCUCACGCCCAACUUUAAAGAUCCUAAAAGCGUUUGAAAUGAAGCCAAACCAACAACAAGUACAAGACCCUCCAUUUUAGAUGAUAUGCUCACGUUAAAUUCUAAGACGCUUAUUAUUAGAACUAACUGUAGGAAACUUUGUGAAUUUGGGAUGUAUGGUUGGAAUUUGUAUUGAGUACUAUUCAUGAAAUGGAAUUGAGGCAUGCUGGUAUGAUGGCAAUUCAUUGCAUGGUACUAUGGACCUCAUAUUGCUUUGAUGAAUCAGACGUCCUUAACUCUUUGGGAAUUAUCUGACUGGCUCUGAUAUUGUUUGCAAACUUUAUGUGAGCAUCCAAGCAUGUUAUAAGUGGCUGAUCUUAAAUUUGAAGAAACAUGUACAAAAUUUGUAUAAAAAGCAAAAAAUAAAUAAAAUGGAAUGGUCUUUAUGAUAA